AUUGAACGCUGGCGGAAUGCUUUACACAUGCAAGUCGAGCGGCAGCGCGGGGGCAACCCUGGCGGCGAGCGGCGAACGGGUGAGUAACAUAUCGGAACGUACCCAGUCGUGGGGGAUAACUAUCCGAAAGGAUAGCUAAUACCGCAUACGACCUGAGGGUGAAAGCGGGGGACCGUAAGGCCUCGCGCGAUUGGAGCGGCCGAUAUCGGAUUAGCUAGUUGGUGAGGUAAAGGCUCACCAAGGCGACGAUCCGUAGCUGGUCUGAGAGGACGACCAGCCACACUGGAACUGAGACACGGUCCAGACUCCUACGGGAGGCAGCAGUGGGGAAGUUUUGGACAAUGGGGGCGAACCCUGAUCCAGCCAUUCCGCGUGAGUGAAGAAGGCCUCGGUUGGUAAA
rnacentral:rRNA from 1 species